UCAAUUUGAACAAUGAACGGAUAAAGAGAAGACAAUGUUUGAAUCGUUUACAAAUGAUUCUCAUAACUUCAGAAAUGAUUAAUCGAUUAAUCCGUACCUGUAUAUCUCUUUGAAUAACAAUAAAAAUACCUGUAAAAUAUUACGUCUUAAAUAUUCGACAACUUACAAAAUAGGAAGCAAUUAAAUUAUAAGAAGACAAUGCCGUGAGUUGCAUCCACAUAAAAAAGAUGAACAGAAAUAUUACGCUGUUGUAUAGAUUAUUGUUGUUAGGCAAUUUAUAAAAAUCAUCGAAUUAAAAUGUAAAGGUUACCGCCAUUUAUAAAUAUCGUUGAAAAACUUACUGAAAGCUUCUUUAACUUUCUUUUUGAAUAUCUAAUUUCAGAAUCUUAAAGUAGAUACCUUAAAGUAUUUGAAUGAUUUUUUCCAAAAUUCCUUAAACAAGUAAACGCGUGAAAAAUCACAUCGAACCUCGGAGACAUUGUACCAUAUUGGGAUUAAUAAAGUCUCUAUAUAUGUAAACUUCUAAUUAAAUCGAUCAAUGGGUCGAUUAUCGUUUUACCUUCUCGCCAUGUCUACUUGCGUUACAAUAUACUCUCAAUCUUAAAUCGAUCAUAAUUUUCAAAAGUUUGACCGUUUUUAUUACAGAAUAAUCCCUGCGAGAAGAAACGAUUAAUUUGGUUACACUGUGACAAAUCAACACGUUCGAUCAAGCUCGAGUGGUUUGACUUCGCGUUAAAAGACAACCGGCAGAUUUCAAGUGUGUUUACAUCGCUAUUAUUUUCUUUUUCCUAUCUGCCUCGAUUGUACCUUUCACGUAUCAGAAACCCGCUAGCGUCACAGUAAGAAAGACGUAUUUGAUCCUUUGACGUUUAGCUUUUCUAUUCGACGAAGAAGUUAUUUCACAUUUGCAAUACUUUCAAAUUGUGUUGUUAUCAAACAAUUUCAUUCUUUUGAAAUUUUUGACCGUCUUUUUAAUUCGUGUGAUCAUAUUUUAUAGUGGUUUAUUUUCUAUUCGCCGCAUUGAGAAAGCAGGUAACUUGAACAGGGAAUAGACAGUCAGAAUGAACGUCAAUUUGAAUUACAAUAAUUAUGAAAGAAGAGUGGCCAGAGGAAGAGGGAUAGCUCGAAGUAAUUUACCUGCGAAUAGGUGCCUGUGCCAUAGACCAUACACUAUCGUGCUAUGUAAUGUUUGCGGUUACUGGACAAAGGGCAGAGUACGUUACUUCUGUCCAAUCCAUCCACAGGUAUGUUGUCUUUCAUAUAUCGUACUUUUAAAUAAACUACAAAGCAGAAGAAAUCAUUUGCAGCUACUCUUUCUUUCUAAAUUUUCAUUUUACCCUUUGUAAUUAUUAGUUAAUUUCUCCUAAUUAUUUACUCCUUUCUUACAGGUAGUUUUUUUGUUUGACAUUCCACAGUGUCCCCAAUGUAAAUCUUAUGGUUUUAUGUUGAGUGAAUAUUGAAUCGUCUGAAAACAGAAUGUAUACCUUGCAUAAUAGUAUGUGAAUUACAUAAUAAUGCAUAAUACAUUAUACUAUACAU